GGAAUUGUAGCCAAAUGGGCUUUCGAAAGUAGUUGCGAAUGAAUUGCCAUCUGCUCAUCCACAGUAUGGUGCUGCUUGUCAACAUAUGUGUUGUGUUUGUUUUGUGACUAACUAUGGCGUGGAUGUUUGUCUCUGUAAAUAGAGCAGCAAUGAAGGUGACACUCCUGGUUGGCAUGUUUAGAUCUUUUGUGAACGGCAUGGUUCCAGUGGAUUCACAUUCUUUGGAAAUGGAAUGCUAAGUGUGUGGUAAGAUUCAUGCUAAGCAAAAUACAAGUGUUUGAACCUGAUAGUGAACAAGUACCUUAAGGGAACUAUGAAAAGUACUUUGAAAAGAAAGUUAAGGAAGCCUGAAAUUGCUGUGCUGCAAGCGAACAAGACAUGAAGUGCUUGGUGUAAUGUGUGUUUGUGAUCAGCUAUUUGCAGUGUAACCAUGUGGAUGUGCAGAUUACAUGAUUAAAUGUGUGGUUUCCAAAGUUAUCGUUACCCCACCCCUGCAUCGUGGUACGCCUUGCCUUCAUUGCACAUGUGUGCGUUGCACUCAUGGCAGCAUGUGUGUGUGUGUGUUUACAUGCUGGGCUUGCAUAUUCAAGCGCUGGUGCUUGUGUUCGAUUGAUUGUGUGACUGCACAGCCCCGCUGUCAGCACUCUGUGCAUGACGUUGUGGUGGUAAUUCAAAUGGUCUUUGCUCGACCCGUCUUGAAACACGGACCAAGGAGUUUAACAGAUUUGCAAGCAUUGCUUUAAUUACAAUUGACUGCGCAACGAAGGUGAAUGCCUGAUGUUGUUAACUUGCAACCAACACGCCUCUGGACUUGUAUGCGCUGGAGCAUGUGUGUUACGACCCGAAAGAUGGUGAACUAUGCCUGCGAAGUGUAAAUUUAGUGGAAAUUCUGAUGGAGGCUUGUAGCGGUACUGACGUGCAAAUUGUUCGUCUCAUGUAGGUAUAGGGGCGAAAGACUAAUCGAACCAUCUAGUAGCUGGUUCCCUCCGA
rnacentral:rRNA from 1 species